GGGGGCACGAACCGGAUUAGAUACCCGGGUAGUCCCAGCCGUAAACGAUGCUCGCUAGGUGUCAGGCCUGGCGCGACCGUGUCUGGUGCCGUAGGGAAGCCGUGAAGCGAGCCACCUGGGAAGUACGGCCGCAAGGCUGAAACUUAAAGGAAUUGGCGGGGGAGCACAACAACGGGUGGAGCCUGCGGUUUAAUUGGACUCAACGCCGGACAACUCACCGGGGGCGACAGCAAUAUGUAGGCCAGGCUGACCACUUUGCCUGAAUCGCUGACACGAUGUGCAUGGCCGUCUCCAGUUCGUACUGUGAAGCAUCCUGUUCACUCAGGCAACCAGCGAGACCCGUGCCCCUGUUACCAGCAUGUCCUCCGGGACCAUGGGUACACUGUGGGGACCGCCGGUGUUAUAUCGGAGGAAGGCGCCGGCCCCCGG
rnacentral:rRNA from 1 species